UGUGUGUGUUCUGGUCGUGAUUUACACAUGAGCCACAAAGGAUUCUUGAUCAAAACCCUAAAUCACAAGAAAUUCAGCCAAAUCAAGGGAAAUCAAGCUAGGAAAUUGGGGCUUUUAAUAAAUUAGUGAUCACCAAGCCUAGGGGAUCACAAGUUUGACGCCUAACGAGCUAGAUGGAAGCUUGUGGAUGAAGCGGGUCAAAUGGAGCAAGUACGGAAAGAAAAGCGUGGCAUGGAUGCAAGGUAAGUGAAACUUACACCUUUUGUAGAAUAUGUGUCUACUCUAUAAGUUAUAAAUACAAUAGAGAUAGUAUUCGAAAUAAGGUUUUUGACCCAAAAUGAUACGGGUCGGAACCAAAAACAAAUGGUAAAAACCAUAGUUAAUGGUGAAACGGGGUGGAACGGUAAAUUAGUCACGAAAGGACUAAGAUAAAAUGAGUGUUUGACGGCUACUUUAUAAGUAAGCCUAAACUAAUAAAAAGGGUAAAACGGGUCAAAUGGUAAUAUUGAUACCAUUUGACAAUUAACGACUAAUAAGUGUAUGCCGAGUCUCAUGCUCGCAGGAUGAACGGCUCGGGAAUUAGCGAAGCUAUGAAAUAGCAAAUAAAUGAAGACAAGGUAUUACAAUGGGUCAAUAUGUUGAUCCGAGCCAGGUAAACUUUAGUAAGCUUACGGAUGAAGAUCAAGCUUGUUGAAGGACCGAACACAAUGCAGUUACAAGCUUCCGCACAUAGUUUAGUCGUUAUUUCUAAACGGCAAAUUUUUACCAAUCAUGAUGUAACGUUAUAAAAUUUAGAAAAGUUUUAAUUAACUUGUAUUAUUAAUUGAUAUGUAAUCAUAAGUACAUGUUUAUU
rnacentral:lncRNA from 1 species